UACGGGGGGGGCAAGCGUUGUUCGGAAUUACUGGGCGUAAAGGGCUCGUAGGUGGCCAACUAAGUCAGACGUGAAAUCCCUCGGCUUAACCGGGGAACUGCGUCUGAUACUGGAUGGCUUGAGUUUGGGAGAGGGACGCGGAAUUCCAGGUGUAGCGGUGAAAUGCGUAGAUAUCAGGAGGAACACCAGUGGCGAAGGCGGCUCACUGGCCCGAUACUGACGCUGAGGCACGAAAGCGUGGGGAGCAAACAGG
rnacentral:rRNA from 1 species